AUAAGGACUCUCAACUACUUCUUCAGCACCAUGUCCCACCAUGGACUGAACCUCUGAACUGUUCUUAUUCAUAUCUCUUCAUGCAGUUUGCUUCCCUGCCUGGAUGCCUGCAGGGACCCCCUCACACAACCACUCCAGUUCUAGGAGACCCAAAGACCUUUUCUGACCUCCGUGGGUACCAGACAUGCAUGUGAUUCACAUACAAUACAUGCAGAUAAACGGAGCUCUCAUCCCUCAUCAAUGAAGCUUCUUUGCGACAAAUGGAGACCAUUAGAGAAAAUUGCUACUAGUCAUGAUGCAGAGACCAAUUGACCGUGGGGUGCCCAGCCCUAACAAGUAAAUCUAUAACACAUCCUGAAUCUUCAGCUCAGGGAGUGUCUCAGAAGAUGGAGUGGCAAGACUGUGAGAACCAGAGGAUCAGGACAUCUGAUGGGAGCUGUGUUUCCUAGAAAUGACAGGGAAGAUGCACCCACACACCCCAAAACAUGGCUAUCUAGGACCUGAACAAUGGACAACAACAGUGGACAUGCUAAUGUGGAAGGGGGAAUCUCAUAGGAUCCUACUCCUAGAUAAAGAACUACCUGCCAUGGCAGCUGGAAGAGGGAGAAUUAGCCUGUCCUGGGGAUGACACCCCUAAUUAAUUAUCCAAUAUAAAAUGCUAAGUCCAGAAGUCAUGCAACACUGAAUAGGACUAACAGGUUGUAUUUAUGUUUAUAAAUAUGUAUGCUUAUAAAUGUUUUAUAUAUAUAUAUAUAUAUAUCAAAAAUACAGACCAUCAAUUGGAGAGGGAGUGAGAGGGCACAUGGGAAAUGUUGGAGGGAAGAAAGGGGGAGGGGCAAGUGAUAUCAUAUUUUAAUUAACAUUUAAAAAUUAAAAAUUAAGAAUCAUGACAGAUUCCACCCAAACACAAAUCUUAGGAGCAUAAGGAAUGUGGACAAGCCUGCUGUCCUUCCUCUUAAAAGCGUCUGUGAGUCACAACGGAGAGAAAUAAACAGGAAGAAUAUGUGAAUGCUCUGAUGCUCUCACCAUCAGGGUAAAUGUCAGGGGUCACGUGGGAAAAGUUCAAUGUCCACAUGAGUAAAGAAUGUGGGAAUGUCUUCCACCAUUCAUCAUGUGAUAGGUCAGAAGGACCCAGCUCUUUCCAAGUGGUAUUUGCGUAAGGACCAAACAAUUAUUGUGAAGAAUGUUACUCUCCUAGGUCUUUACUCUAAGGACCCCUUUAUGUUUUGUUUUGUGAAUGAGCAAACUGUUCAGAGUGGGCGCUGGGCCCUUGAGUGACAGCUGACAGACCUUUCUUUUUGUCAGUCGUCAGGCAAGUAGCCCCUGCUCUGACAACCAGUCUGCCAUCUGCCUUGACAACCCUGUCAUCACACCUGAAAAGCCUCUCCAGUUGAAGGAACAUUUCAACCAUGGCUGCUUUGGAAGCUCUAACUUCCACCUUAGGAGGCUUUGCUCCCGACACCUCUCAGGACAAAUUGCCUGGCUUCUAUUAGACUUUCCCACAGCCAUGACAAAUUCUGUGGGUUCUAGGCAACCACACCCAUCCUGCAGCUAGUCUUGCUGUGGAAAUGUGUACAUCUCCUCAAGGAUACAACAAAAACCUUAUGAUUGAUUCGUCUCCAAAGCUCCCAAUUGGUACACGUGUUAGAGUAGUGAUUGGUGAUGGAACUAUCAUGGAAGCCAUGUGCAAGCAUUCCAUGCCCUUCAUGGGACUGCUUUCAGUUUUUCUGGAAUACUUCCUCAAGGUAUUGUAAUAUUAGGCCUCAAUAAAGGCUUUUCCUGAAUAGGUUUUGGGGGGGGGAACAGGGAGUCCAAUACAGAAACAGAAGUUAAAAGAGUGAUGACCAGGGUCAAGGAGAGGGAGGAAAUAGGAAGAUAUUGGUCAAAGGAUACAAACACAAUUAUGUGAUCUGGAUCAGUCUAGACACUGAAUUGAGGAUGUGAAGGUCACUCACUGUUAAAUGUGUUAUAUUGUAUACUGAAAAAUUGCUUCAAGCUGACUGCUUUUACUAGGCACACACAAAGGAAGCCAACUACAUGGGAUGACAGAUAAUUUGUAAUUGACACCAUAGUAACAAUCAUUCUGCCAUCUAUAUACACCUCAAGAUAUGUGCCUUUAUUUAUGGAAAUAUUUAUUUAUUGGGCACACCUUAAAUACAAUAAUAAAUGAAUUUAUUUUA